rnacentral:rRNA from 1 species
AAUCAACGCUGGCAGCGUGCCUCAGACAUGCAAGUCGAACGAUUAAAGCUCCCUUCGGGGAGUGCAUAGAGUGGCGCACGGGUGAGUAACACGUAAGUAAUCUACCCUCGGGUGGGGAAUAACAACCGGAAACGGUUGCUAAUACCGCAUAAUGCAGCGGCACCGCAAGGUGACAGUUGUUAGAGGAGCAAUCCGCCUGGGGAGGAGCUUGCGGCAGAUUAGCUUGUUGGUAAGGUAACGGCUUACCAAGGCUACGAUCUGUAUCCGGUCUAAGAGGACGGUCGGACACACUGACACUGAAUAACGGGUCAGACUCCUACGGGAGGCAGCAGUCGGGAAUUUUGGGCAAUGGGGGAAACCCUGACCCAGCAACGCCGCGUGAAGGAUGAAGUAUUUCGGUAUGUAAACUUCGAAAGAAUAGGAAGAAUUAAUGACGGUACUAUUUAUAAGGUCCGGCUAACUACGUGCCAGCCGCCGCCGUAACAC